AUUGAACGCUGGCGGCAUGCUUUACACAUGCAAGUCGAACGGUAACAGGCCUUCGGGUGCUGACGAGUGGCGCACGGGUGAGUAAUGCAUCGGAACGUACCCAGAGGUGGGGGAUAACGCAGCGAAAGCUGUGCUAAUACCGCAUGUGAUCUGAGGAUGAAAGCGGGGGACCGAGCAGCAAUGUUUGGCCUCGCGCCUUUGGAGCGGCCGAUGUCGGAUUAGCUAGUUGGUGGGGUAAAGGCCUACCAAGGCGACGAUCCGUAGCUGGUCUGAGAGGACGACCAGCCACACUGGGACUGAGACACGGCCCAGACUCCUACGGGAGGCAGCAGUGGGGAAUUUUGGACAAUGGGCGCAAGCCUGAUCCAGCAAUGCCGCGUGCGGGAAGAAGGCCUUCGGGUUGUAAAACGCUUUUGGCAGGAACGAAACGGUGUCCGCUAAUACCGGGCGCUAAUGACGGUACCUGCAGAAUAAGCACCGGCUAACUACGUG
rnacentral:rRNA from 1 species